UGCGGGGUGGAGCAGCUUGGUAGCUCGUCGGGCUCAUAACCCGAAGGUCAUCGGUUCAAAUCCGGUCCCCGCUACCA
rnacentral:tRNA from 1 species